rnacentral:rRNA from 1 species
CCUACGGGUGGCUGCAGUGGGGAAUAUUGGACAAUGGGGGCAACCCUGAUCCAGCCAUGCCGCGUGUGUGAAGAAGGCCCUCGGGGUGGAAAGCACUUUCAGUGAGGAAGAACGCCUGGUGGUUAAUACCCAUCAGGAAAGACAUCACUCACAGAAGAAGCACCGGCUAACUCCGUGCCAGCAGCCGCGGUAAUACGGAGGGUGCGAGCGUUAAUCGGAAUUACUGGGCGUAAAGCGCGCGUAGGUGGCUUGAUAAGCCGGUUGUGAAAGCCCCGGGCUCAACCUGGGAACGGCAUCCGGAACUGUCAAGCUAGAGUGCAGGAGAGGAAGGUAGAAUUCCCGGUGUAGCGGUGAAAUGCGUAGAGAUCACGAGGAAUACCCGUGGCGAAGGCAGCCUUCUGGACUGAAACUGACACUGAGGUGCGAAAGCGUGGGUAGCAAACAGGAUUAGAUACCCUAGUAGUC